GACGAACGCUGGCGGCGUGCUUAACACAUGCAAGUCGAACGGAAAGGCCUCUUUCGGGGGGUACUCGAGUGGCGAACGGGUGAGUAACACGUGAGUAACCUGCCCUUGACUUUGGGAUAACUUCAGGAAACUGGGGCUAAUACCGGAUAGGAGCUCCUGCUGCAUGGUGGGGGUUGGAAAGUUUCGGCGGUUGGGGAUGGACUCGCGGCUUAUCAGCUUGUUGGUGGGGUAGUGGCUUACCAAGGCUUUGACGGGUAGCCGGCCCGAGAGGGUGACCGGCCACAGUGGGACUGAGAUACGGCCCAGACUCCUACGGGAGGCAGCAGUGGGGAAUAUUGCACAAUGGGUGGAAGCCUGAUGCAGCAACGCCGUGUGCGGGAUGACGGCCUUCGGGUUGUAAACCGCUUUCGCUCAUGACGAAGCUUUGUGUGACGGUAGUGGGUAAAGAAGCACCGGCUAACUACGUG
rnacentral:rRNA from 1 species